GAUCGAUAGCUCCGUUGGCGGAGCAGAGGACUGUAGAGGUAUAGCAGUGAUCCUUAGGUCGCUGGUUCAAACCCGGCUCGAGGGACU
rnacentral:tRNA from 1 species